CCACCCCUCCCCCGCCGCCACCCACCUCCACCACCCACCCCUCUCCUCGCCGCGCCACCCACAUCCCGUCCCCACCCCAGAUCCUCUCCCCACUCCCAGAUCCAACUUGCCACCGUAGAACGAGGAGAUCGCGGCCAAGAUCUUCGGGACGCGGUGGUCGUCGUCGCGGACCGCUCCUCCGCCGACCCGCGCAAGUUCCCCGGUGCUAAGGUACCUCGAGGAGUUCGCGCGGCGGUUCGACCCCCUCGGGCUGGUCCGGUUCGGGACGGAGGUGGUGAGCGUCCACCGCAGCAGGGACGACGACGCGGGCUGGAGGGUGAGGCUCGCCUGCGCUGGCAGCGAGUUGGAGGAGGAGGUUUGACGCCGUGGUCGUCUGCAGUGGGCACUUCGCCGAGCCGUGCGUGGCCGCCAUCACAGGUUAGUGAGCAGCAUCAGGAGGAGGAGCUUCCUCACUCCGCCCCGGAUCUGCGGCUGCCCCACGCUGGCCAUGGACUCCGUCCUAGGGUUUCCGCCGCCGCCGCCGGAGAGGGGAGGGGAGGAGUGUAGAAGGACCAGAGCGAGAUGGCCGGACGGCUCCUCGGGCAGCUCCUCGUCAUGGGCAGCGCCGUCGUCGGCAGGGCCGUGGUGCAGGCCUACCGCCAGACCAUCGUCAGAUAUGCAGGGAGGUCGGCCCUUGUCCAGGGGAAGAUCAGCACCAUGACGGUGAAAGACAACCUCUUGGUGGCUGGUGGUUUCCAUGGGGAGCUGAUCUGCAAUGUAUCCCACCGCUGAUCCAUAUCCAGAUCAGCUGCGUCGCCGGUUCAGUCGUCUCCGACCGCACUCCCCCGUCUGCGCCGUCGAGCCGGGCCUGCUCACCUCCUUCUUGAUGGUCGCGCGCCGAGAGAGCCCUCUGCUGGCAGUGACGCAGCCGUGUCUGGUGCCGUACAAGGGACGCCGGCGCAGGAUGCUAUCGCCGUCCGUUCCUAACGCCGCUGAGUUGAGCUGCAGGUGUUCCUUGAUGCUACAUAUGUCAGUUUCUUUUGGCAUGAUGUACAUCUGGUGGUCGUCAAGUCAAGGAACCUCCUCUUCUUGCUACGGCAGUCCUCCUCCCGCUGCUCUGCUCUGCUCAAUAGCUAGCGUCCAUGGCUAAAACAAAGGGCGACUAGUGAUGCGGCACAGCAAGCAGUAGCAGGCACCCGAAGCAGCAGCAGCAGGGGGAGGGGGUCUCUCGAACGUCGCUACUGUCACUGAUUGAUGAUGGAUGAUCUCUCUCCCUCUCUUGCAAGCGUCUAUAAAUGCUGGUAGAAAUAGAAAUGGUAGCUCUAGUCCCAUGUUGUUGUAGUCUCAUGUAGUUCCUUUUCUCGGACCGCCCUUUGUUGCUUCAUUUCUAUGUUAAUUCAGUCUUUGUCGAAUGUAUCUACUAUCUAUUAUCGUGGCUGUGUAAUGAAUCCUUUUGUGUUGAAUGAAAUAAAAUGGUUUGGAUA